rnacentral:rRNA from 1 species
CCAUCGCUCAACGGAUAAAAGGUACUCCGGGGAUAACAGGCUGAUACCGCCCAAGAGUUCAUAUCGACGGCGGUGUUUGGCACCUCGAUGUCGGCUCAUCACAUCCUGGGGCUGAAGUAGGUCCCAAGGGUAUGGCUGUUCGCCAUUUAAAGUGGUACGCGAGCUGGGUUUAGAACGUCGUGAGACAGUUCGGUCCCUAUCUGCCGUGGGCGCUGGAGAACUGAGGGGGGCUGCUCCUAGUACGAGAGGACCGGAGUGGACGCAUCACUGGUGUUCGGGUUGUCAUGCCAAUGGCACUGCCCGGUAGCUAAAUGCGGAAGAGAUAAGUGCUGAAAGCAUCUAAGCACGAAACUUGCCCCGAGAUGAGUUCUCCCUGACCCUUUAAGGGUCCUGAAGGAACGUUGAAGACGACGACGUUGAUAGGCCGGGUGUGUAAGCGCAGCGAUGCGUUGAGCUAACCGGUACUAAUGAACCGUGAGG